rnacentral:lncRNA from 1 species
GAGGAAACCUGGAUUUAAGAGGUUGAGAAACGACACUGGAGAGAAGGACUGUAUCCGCCAGGGAGCCAGCAGGAGCCGAGACCCUACCAAACCAGAAAGGGCAACACCCCAUCACCUUCUGGCUGGCUUUCACCCAGCCCUGAGGGCAUCCCAAAGGCUUUCCAGGACAAAAGGAGGAAAAUAUUUCCACCAGUGACUUUCCACACCCCCACAAAUGGCUCCUGCCUCUAGCCAUUCCAAAAAGACCAUUCCAGACUCAGAGCAGCCCACCUGCCCAAGCGGAUGUUAGGCGGAGAAGCCAAAGGCUCUAGGUCAUCUCCAGCUUCCUUUGGAACCUAAAAAGCAGAACUUGAUUGCAAUUGUCAUGCUGAUGGACAUGAGUGCAUAGGGGACCUGCCACACCCACACCUCAAGGGACAGGGAAUGAAGACCAGAAUAGUCAAGCCAAAUGACGAAGACCAGGAUACUCAAGUCAAAUGACAAGGUUGGUGGUAGAGGGAACGGGACCGGUGAAAAAGCAGCUGACACUAAAAAGUGGAGCCUCCAUCUGAAAAGUAAAAUGUGGGAGAGGGCCGGUGUGUCGAGGUGGAAGGAAAGGCAGCCUCCCUGAGAGCCACAGAGCGAGCCCAGGCCAUCACCGCCCACCUCCACCCAGGCUCUUCUGCACCACUGACCCACCAUUGCCCCCCGGACCUCUUCUUUCUCAUGCCUCAGAGUGGCCCAACGACAGGAAGAAGCCAUCAGAGGGACUGCUGCCGUCUAACGGGAUCCCCUAAGACUUGGUGGAACCAGAUGUGUCUAGUGAUUGCCCUGCAGUAGCCCUGACUUCUUUGGGGGUCACAUUUUCCUCGGGGUAUGACUGUCUUCCAGCCCUGCCACUGUGUUCAUCUACCUCUUCCCUCAGAAAUGUCCUGGGGCUUCUGCUCCUCUGUGUUCACCAUGUCUGGCUCCUCACGGAACCCUGUCUCUUGGCACUGUAUCUGCUCCACCCGUUCCUCUUUAGCCUUCUUGUUUCUCUGUACUUGCAUUCAGUGGGCGAGGGCCAAAAUCCAGAGCUGGUCACAAAGGAGAGUGCCAUAAUCCUGGGGAUAGAGCCUUGUGAUAUCUGAGGACAGAUGUCCCCUGCUCUUUACCCUGCCCUUCCCCUUGGCUGGGUAGCAGCCUGUGAGCCCAGAGGGGAUUGGGAAGGCAGGCCACGUUGCAUGAGGAAGCCGCAGACACUCGCUUCCUGGCGUCUCUUCCCCUUAUCCAAAACCUGUCUUUCCCUGAGGGUGGCUCCUCUUCCAAGUCUUCUGAAAUUUACAGUAAGGCUCUUCUCUUUUCUAUCUUCCCUCAGGCAAGGCCUCCAGGACUGUGCCUUACUGGCUUCUUUCCUCCCGCUCCUGACCAUUCUAAUUCCUCUUGGUGAUGCUUCCUCUUCCUCUUGGAGCCCUCUCAUGCCACAUGACCAUCUCCUUCCCAUCUUCAUCUAUCAACAACCCGAUGUACUUCCACAUUUACAUCCCCACAGGAGCUUAUUAGAAGAAUGCCUAGCACAUAGUAGAUGCUCAAUAAAUAUUUGUUGAAUGAAUGAAUGAAUGGAG